rnacentral:tRNA from 2 species
GCCGGAGUGGUGGAAUUGGUAGACACAAGGGACUUAAAAUCCCUCGAUCUUCGGGUCGUGCCGGUUCAAGUCCGGCCUCUGGUACCA